CCUACGGGUGGCAGCAGUGGGGAAUAUUGCACAAUGGGCGCAAGCCUGAUGCAGCCAUGCCGCGUGUAUGAAGAAGGCCUUCGGGUUGUAAAGUACUUUCAGCGAGGAGGAAGGCAUUGUGGUUAAUAACCACAGUGAUUGACGUUACUCGCAGAAGAAGCACCGGCUAACUCCGUGCCAGCAGCCGCGGUAAUACGGAGGGUGCAAGCGUUAAUCGGAAUUACUGGGCGUAAAGCGCACGCAGGCGGUCUGUCAAGUCGGAUGUGAAAUCCCCGGGCUCAACCUGGGAACUGCAUUCGAAACUGGCAGGCUAGAGUCUUGUAGAGGGGGGUAGAAUUCCAGGUGUAGCGGUGAAAUGCGUAGAGAUCUGGAGGAAUACCGGUGGCGAAGGCGGCCCCCUGGACAAAGACUGACGCUCAGGUGCGAAAGCGUGGGGAGCAAACAGGAUUAGAUACCCCGGUAGUCAAGGGCGAAUUCCACAUUGGG
rnacentral:rRNA from 1 species